rnacentral:rRNA from 1 species
GACGAACGCUGGCGGCGUGCCUAACACAUGCAAGUCGAACGGAACUGUUUUGAAAGCUUUCUUCGGAAUGAAUUUGAUUUAGUUUAGUGGCGGACGGGUGAGUAACGCGUGAGUAACCUGCCUUCAAGAGGGGAAUAACAUUCUGAAAAGAAUGCUAAUACCGCAUGACAUAUCGGAACCACAUGGUUUUGAUAUCAAAGAUUUUAUCGCUUGAAGAUGGACUCGCGUCCGAUUAGUUAGUUGGUGAGGUAACGGCUCACCAAGACCGCGAUCGGUAGCCGGACUGAGAGGUUGAACGGCCACAUUGGGGCUGAGACACGGCCCAGACUCCUACGGGAGGCAGCAGUGGGGGAUAUUGCGCAAUGGGGGCAACCCUGACGCAGCAACGCCGCGUGAAGGAUGAAGGUUUUCGGAGUGUAAACUUCUUUUAUUAAGGACGAAAAAUGACGGUACUUAAUGAAUAAGCUCCGGCUAACUACGUG